UUUCAGACCCAGCAGUACCGGGGUUGCGGUGUCACAUCCUGCACCCAUUGCCCCGUCGCUCCUCCUGGGCUGGCCCUGACCCUGCUCCUGGGGGGAUCACCCCAGAGGGAUGGGGGGGCUCCCUGCAGCGUGCCCCCAGCCCCAGGGCCUGGGGACAGCGUGGCAGAGGCGGCUGGGUGGCCUUUCCCUUGCCAUCACAGCGCUUUUACCUGCUCCUCUCCCAGGCAGCAGCUCGGGACUGGGGGCUGUCAGUCUGGGCCCUUUCAAUUAGCAUUUUGCUCUCCUGUGCUACCCAGCGCUUAGAGCUGUGUCCAGCCGGCACCCAGGGGCCCUCCCAGCCCGUCUGAAAUACCAUUUCCAUCUCUGACCGGAGUAAUUGAUGUCCUAUUUUCCCUUCAUUCAUAUGCAGGUGGCAUGGGAAGGCUGGAGCGAUGCGGAGCAGGAGCUGUCACCGAGCCCCUCGCUGCUGGCCACCAGCAUCACCGGCUCUGCUGGAAUUGAUCCUCUGCUUCCCCCAAAACUGUGGACCCACAGAGCAGAGGCCAAGCUGACAGCAUCCCCGGACCAGUGCCUGCUUGGAGAUUCAGCUCAGACACAGAGAGAAAUAGCUGCCUGCCAUCCACCUGGGUCCCGGGGGUGUCUGCAUCGCUGGCACUUGGCACGGGGAUCACCGGGUGCAUGUCUGCAGCACCCUCAUGUCCCCAAGCGGUGGUGGGGUCCCAGAGGGGGUGAGGACUGGGGGAGCAGGACCCCCCAUGAUGUCAGCCCCCAUUUGUAGGGGAGGCACAGCCCGUGUGAGCCCCAGGGCACCUGUACUGCCCUCAGAUCCUCACCCCGACAGCCUGGGGGAUGCCACGUCCCAGGGGACGGGGCUGGGGCAGGACCGACCCGUGUCCCUGCCCCGUGUCCCAUCCUCACCGUGUGGCAGAGCAGCAGGAGGGGGCCCUGGCUGCUUUCCUCCCGGCUCCCUGGGGCCGGUGACUGAUGGGUGCAUUAGGCUGGAGAGGGAGCAGGUGACAGCAGGGCAGCCCGCAGCCAGCCGCGGCUCGGUGACACGAGACAGGGAACACUGAUUACUUUGCCAGCCCCAGAGCAGACACCUAAUAACAAGGCGGCGAGGGAGCAGGGACGGCAAGGAUAAAUAGCUCGGAGGCUGCAGGGCUUCUCUGCGCCAUCGCAGCCCCCGUGCGCGGGGGCGUAUCGCCACGAACUUUGCUUCUGCUUGAUCCUUGUCUGCGUGCAGGCUGCGUGCGUGUGCCUGCCCGCGCGGCGCUCGGUGCAGCAGGUCCGGCCACUGAGUCAGCCGGGCAGGAAGGGCAAGGCACCGUGUUAACCUCCUCCCCUCCAGCAGCAGCUCCCUGGGAAGAGAGGGGUUUGCUCGGGAGGUGCCAAGGCAGGGCAGGAGGCCUGCAGAGCCCUCGUGGCCUCGCACACGUGCGCGGUGCCCCACGCGUAGGGCUGUGCGUGGGACACGUGGCAGCGGCUGGGCAGGGGUGGCCUGAGGGGUGGCACAGCUUGUCCUCCUCCCCCAGGUCUCUCCAUGCACCCUUCAGGUCUGCACCACCACCAUCAGGUGUCUCAGGAAUGGGUCAGUGUUCCCUGUGACCCCCCUGCAGCCACACAGCCCCUUGGGGCUCUCCUGGGAUUAUACAGUUUAUUGUAAUUUCAAUUUGGGGUGCUCUUUAAGGAGUUAAAGGAGAUGAAGGAAGAAGAGGCAAAAAAAUAAAGGAUUGCCAGGACCAAGAGGGAGAGUAUCUCCCCAGGGAGAUCACCCUGUUGCAGAGGAUGUAAAAUCCUCUCCCCCCCAAGGAGAAGUGCUGUUUGCCCCAGCAGCAGACCCCGUGCCCGGGGAGGUCGGCUGCUCGGCAGGAAUUUGGCACAGCCACCCGGGAACAGGGCAGCUGCCCCUCCUGGACAAGCGUCUGGGAUAAAAAUCAGUGCCAGGAUCGCUCAGACAAGUCAUGCUGCUGGGGUCACUGCACAGUCUAUGGCCCGUCUCAUGCCCGGGGAUGUGUGCUGAGGAAGCACAAGUCGCUGGCUGCCCUCCAGGAAUAGAUAAGCUGUUUAGUUAUAGAAUAACUCGAUUAACCAGGCUGUGUGGGGACAGCAGAUCACCGCUGCCAAGCCCGAGAUGUGGGCCUGAGGUGCCCUUUGGCCUGCUGCGAUAAAGCAGCGGGUUCAGCCUGGAGCAGAAAGGAAGGUGGGGAAGCUGCAGUGUGGGGAGCGGCGCACAUACCCGGGCACUCGAUGGACACCUCCUGCAAUAGCUCAUGGAGACGCAGAGGUGCUGUGAGCUACACAACCCACGAUCCCGUCUCCUGAGGCCUGGGAGCAGCCCUCUGAACCUAAUGGACAUGACCUGAUUAGUGAGCGCUUGGUGUCUGCUCGGCUCACUCGAGGCAGCAACCUCAAGGCCAAGGCUGGGAAAAGAUGGGACUUUUCUCCCUCUGGAUGAGUGAGGUGGGAAAGAAGAGCACAAAAACUUCCUGCAGCCGUCGCAGCUUCCUGGGGAUUAGCCGGGGAAGGGAAGGUCGGCUCAUCCCGGGGACAAGCAGCUCAUUUGCUAAAUUAAAGCGCUAACCGAGGAACCAA